UCUUUAAGAAGAUGUAAAUAUUAUCAGAUAAUAAAAAUAUAAAUAAAUGUAGUGUAUUAGCAGAUGAAAUGAUCUUUAUGUUGCGCAAUAACAACACCAGUAACAACUUGAACGAGAUGUAAUAGUCUUGUAGGAGUGAAGAUCCUGAUUGUGAUAAUAACUUUCCUGACAAUAAACGCAAUUAACGGUGACGCGACCUCGCUGAGGAAAUUACACUUUGAUUGUUUUCAGCUUCCCGGUUUUAAGAACUUUUUCCACACAUGCUUAAAACUCACUGUGGAAGAUGUACUAUGGAUCAAAAAAAAGCAUACGACACCACUGUUGAAUAUUUAAAGCGUAAAAGACCAGAUAUUUAUAUAGCGCUUUUGGAAACAUUUAAUCUUCUGUUAAAUUCUAA